rnacentral:lncRNA from 1 species
GUUCAGGCGUGGAUCAGGGCCCAAGCGAACGCGAGGACCCAGCAUGGGCCGGGAUUGGGCGGUUGGUGGUCGCCUCUGACCAAGUGUCCUGCUGGAAGAGGCAGCCAAGGAAAGGUGCCAGAGCAGAGGCGCACGAGAGAGCUAUUGAAAGGGAUCGCUUUACUUUUGUCAGGUGGAAGAAGAGCGUCUAGUUUGGUGAAGGAGCACUAUACCGCGCCAGGACAGUGCUCCUGGUGGCUCCUCUUCUGUACUCUCGGAGAAGAAUGGAGGGCAGUGGAAAGCUCGCAAUGGUAGAGGAUGCUGUGGAGUACCAUCUCUUCCUGAUACCAGAUAAAGCCAGAGGCACAGAAGAGCACAGAGAGAUUCUUCAGAAGUACAUUGAACGGAUAAUGACCCAGUUCGCACCCAUACUGGUCCCUUAUAUCUGGCAGAAUCAGCCUUUCAAUCUCAAAUACAAGCCUGCAAAAGGAGGUGUUCCUGCUCAUAUGUACGGCAUGACAAAGUUUGGAGAUAACAUUGAGGAUGAAUGGUUUAUUGUUUAUGUAAUAAAGCAGAUUACAAAGGAAUUUCCAGAGUUAGUGGCCAGGCAUCUCUGUGUAUCCUGAAUGUCCUGGAACUUACUCCGUAGACCAGGUUGGCCUCAAACUCAGAGAUCCAUCUGCCUCUGCCUCCUGAAUGCUGGAAUUAAAGGGUUGAAGACAAUGAUGGUGAGUUCCUGUUAAUAGAAGCGGCCGACUUUCUCCCUAAGUGGUUGGACCCUGAUAACAGUGCCAACAGGGUAAGUACACCCAGGCUUAGAGAACGCAGAGAUGCUGCGUCAUUUCCUGUGUCCCCAGGCUUCCUGGAGACCGUGAAGACACUAAGGUUGCCAUUUUGCAGGUGUUUUUUCAUCAUGGGGAGCUGUGCAUUAUUCCUGUGCCGAGGAAAUCUGAAAGGAUACCAUGGUUACCCAUGACACCACCAACAAUCCAGCAAGCUUUGAGUAUAAUCUCGGCACACCCAGAAGCUGUUUUGGCUUCAGAAUCUAUACAAGCUGCUGUGGACAGGCGCGUCAGUGGGUAAGAAAGGGAGCACGGAGACUCUUAGCUGAGGAGCGUUUUGGUUCAAUGCAGCACAGGCUUUUAUUUGCACACAGAAUUCCUUCAGCCUAGGUCAAUGCUCAUCUGCACUUUACUGACGUCACUGUUCAUGAAACUGACAGUUAAAUUUAUGGAAUUUAAAAUCAGAAAACAGGUUGACUGAUGGGUUGACUGGCUGACUGAAUGAGAUAGGGUCUUGUUAUGUUGCCCAGGCUAGUUUUGAACCCCCUGGUCUCAUGCUAACUCUUUCCUCAACCUCCUGAGCAGCUGUGGCUCCAGGAGUGUCACUGUCCCUGACUUAGAUGUAGUUUGCCUUUCCAUCCAAAAGUAUCUUUUCUUUUAUUUACCUUACUUAGGUGUCAAGCAAAGUAUAGUCUAUGAAAAUUUGAGAUUGGGGCUGGAGACAUGGCUUCAUGGUUAAGCACACUGGCUGCUAUUCCCAAAGAUCUGAGUUCAAUUCCCAUCACACGUAUGGCCACUCAUUACUGUCUGCAACUCCAGUCCCAUGAAAUCCCAACACGCUCUUCUGGCCUCAGUGGGUACUGGGCAUACAGAUACAUAUGGGCAAAACAUUCAUACGCAUAAAAUAAUAAAUUUUAAAAGAUAAAAUAAAAAUUGAGAUUUUUAUAGAUAAAAACCUAAAGAAGACAAUACAAUACAAUACGUUUGGCUUUUUGUUUUAUUGUUUUUUGGUUCUGGAGUGUCUAUAUGAUUCUUUGACCUGUAUGGAACCCUUUAGGCUUCAUUUUUAAGAGAAGAGAAGUCCCAAUAGCUCUUUGGUUCCAAGCAUUGUCUUACUAACACUACAGAUCUUUUAAAGCUAGAUGUGCUAGCUCACACCUUUAAUCCUAGCACCGUGGAAUAAGAGGCAGGAGGAUCUCAGUGAGUUCCAGGCCAGCCUGGUCUACAAAACAAGUUCCUGGCUAGCCAUAAGUACCUAGUAAGACCCUGAAAAAAAAUCUUGAUAUUUACAUAAAAGAUAAAUAUAUAUAAAAAGAACAUAUAACAUAAAAGCAAUUGCUACUUGUCGCAGGUACCCAGAAAGGGUCGAAGCAUCCCUCCAUCGAGCACACUGCUUCCUUCCAGCCGGCAUUGUGGCGGUGCUCAAGCAACAGCCCAGGCUGCUGUCGGCAGCCGUCCAGGCCUUCUACCUACGGGACCCCAUUGACCUAAGAGCCUGUCGUGUCUUCAAGACAUUUUUGCCUGAAACACGAAUAAUGGCCUCGGUCACUUUCACGAAAUGUCUGUACGCACAGCUGGUACAGCAGAAGUUUGUGCCAGACCGGCGGAGUGGAUACGGGCUCCCACCUCCAUCACAUCCCCAGUACCGAGCUUAUGAACUGGGCAUGAAGUUGGUAAUGUUGAACAAGAAAACUACCUAACUUCUUUCUUUUUUCUUCUUCUCUCCCUCCUUCCCUCCUUCCCCCACUUUCUUCCCUUCCUUCCUUCUCUAAUGUGGAGGAGCUUUAAGGGCUGGAGAAACGGCUUAGGCACUACAAGUACACACUGCUCUUGCAGAGGGCUCGUUUGAUUGCCAGCAUUUACACCAGGUGGCUCACAGCAGCCUGUAAUUCCAGAUCCAGGGCGUUCCUAGGCUUCAGGCCUGUCUGAGUGCCUGCAAUCACAUGUACAUACAUGUGCACACACACACACACACACACACACACACACUGACACCCUUGAGCAUUAGUGAUGGAGACAAUGAAGACUCAGAUCCCUGCAGGCUGCAGUGUCCUGCUGCUCUCACUGUUUCAGUUGCUUGUCAGUUUCACGUAAUGAUGACUGACACAGCGUAGGAACUCUGGAAAUACGUCCUGAUUGUGUGACAGCGUAGUAAAGUUUAUCAUUUCAUUGGAGCCUCAGUGACCCAGCAGCUGUGAAACCACCUGAGAAUGAAAGUUGGUUCUGUCACACUUAGAGCAAAAUAAGUUCCGCUUGGAUUAAAUAUAAAAACUGAAACUAUAAAAUUAGAAAACAAAGGAAAAUUAUCAUCUAAGAAAGGCCUCUUUAGGCAUGACUUGCAACCAGAAUCAAUACAAGAUUGACUGAUUGGAUUUUGUAAAGCUUUCUAACUAAGCACAGUGUACAUCUGGGUCCUAGUCAGAGUCCAGGAGUCAGAACGCAGCUGGGUAACAGACAGCAAAACUGGCUCAAAGAACAACUUAACAGUAAUGGAGAAGAGAAACUCUGCACGGAAAGAAAAAUGUCAUGAACUCAAAAGAUACCAGAAAACCUGAAGAAGGAAUACUAGGUGUUCCUAGAGAAAACAAUACUAACUAAUUGUUCAGAAGCUGAACAGAUAGUUCACAGAAAAAGAAGUACAAAUGAAUUUUGAUUGAAAAUUUAAAAAUAUUGACUUCUGUUCUUAAAAAUUAAUAUAAUUUAAAGCUACAAAAUAGUGGUUUCCAUCGCAAGAUUGGCAAGUGUAAAAAGUACGAGAACAUAUACUGAGCUGGUAAGAAGUUAUAAGGAAAAGUUAUAAAGGAAAAGGAUGUUUUAGCAUGCCAGCCAUGGCAGUGCACCCAGGAGGAAGGAGGGACCUCUGAGUUCCCAGAUGGCCAGGGGCACAGAGUGAGACCCUGUCUUGUAAAACCACAAGACAGACAGACAGACAGACAGACAGAC